rnacentral:lncRNA from 1 species
GUUGGGACCAUCAGGUGAGGGGACUGGUGGAAGAAGAGGUGGGAUAGGAUUGACUAAGACGAAGGAAGGGGGCCGGGUGCGGUGGCUCACGCCUGUAACCCCAGCACUUUGGGAGGCCGAGGCGGGCGGAUCAUCUGAGGUCAGGAGUUCAAGGCCAGCCUGGCCAAUAUGGUGAAACCCCAUCUCUACUAAAAGUAUAAAAAUUAGCCAAGUGGUAGUGGUGCACACCUGUAAUCCCAGCUACUCAGGAGGCUGAGACAGGAGAAUCACUUGAGACUGGGAGGAAGAGGUUGCAGUGAGCUGAGAUCACGCUACUGCACUCCAAAAAAAAAAAAAAGAAAAGAAAAGAAAAGAAGGAAGGAAGGGCGGGCCCAGAAGUCAGGAAGGAGCACGUGAGGAGGGUGUGUGGGAAGAAUGGAGGUACUGAGGCAGGGUUCAGUGGCUCACACCUGUAAUCCCAGCACUUUGGGAGGCCAGGCAGGCAGAUCACUUGAGGCCAGGAGUUGGAGACCAGCCUGGCCAACAUGGUGAAACCCUGUCUCUUCUAGAAGCACAAAAAUGAGCUGGGCGUUCUGGUGGGCACCUGUAAUCCCAGCUACUUGGGAGGCUUAGGCAGGAGAAUCACUGGAACCCAGGAGGCAGAGGUUGCAGUGAGCCAAGAUCGCACCACUACACUCCAGCCUAGGCCACAAAGCAAGACUGUUUCUCAACAACAACAACAA